AACGAACGCUGGCGGCAGGCCUAACACAUGCAAGUCGAGCGAGGACUUCGGUUCUAGCGGCGGACGGGUGAGUAACGCGUGGGAAUGUGCCCUUCUCUACGGAAUAGCCCUGGGAAACUGGGAGUAAUACCGUAUACGCCCUAUUGGGGAGAGAUUUAUCGGAGAAGGAUCAGCCCGCGUUGGAUUAGGUAGUUGGUGGGGUAAUGGCCUACCAAGCCGACGAUCCAUAGCUGGUUUGAGAGGAUGAUCAGCCACACUGGGACUGAGACACGGCCCAGACUCCUACGGGAGGCAGCAGUGGGGAAUCUUAGACAAUGGGGGCAACCCUGAUCUAGCCAUGCCGCGUGAGUGAUGAAGGCCUUAGGGUUGUAAAGCUCUUUCAGCUGGGAAGAUAAUGACGGUACCAGCAGAAGAAGCCCCGGCUAACUCCGUG
rnacentral:rRNA from 1 species